CAAAAUCUUAAUUCUAGUUUAAUUGAAAGAGAUAAAAAUAUAAAGAGAUUAAGUGGGAAUAUUCAAAAUAUAACAGAACAUCAAAAAACAAUUGAAUUGGAAGUAAAUGAGAAGAAAACUUUGUUAAUAAAGCAAUAUGAAGUUAUUAAGUUCUGUCAGUCUGAAAUUGAUACAUUAAAUCGGACAUCAGAGAAUAUCAGAGAACAGCAGAAAAAAAUUCAAUUGGAAUUAAAUGAAAGUGAAACUAAGCUAAUAGAUAAAGUGCAAGAAAAUCAGUUAUGUCAAUCUGAAAUUGAUAUAUUGAAUAAGACUUUACUCAAUACUCUUGUCCCAACAAGUUGCGCUCCUUUUGGAGAUUAUCCUGGUGUACAUCAACUCAAUGUCUCUGGCGAAGGUUUAUUCGAUGUUUUAUGUGAUAGUCAGAUAGCUGGACCUGGAUGGAUUGUAAUACAACAACGAGUUGGUGGAAAUGAGAGUUUUGAGAGGGAUUGGGCAACGUAUCGCCAAGGUUUCGGCUCUUAUAAGAGUGAUUUCUUCCUGGGGCUCGAGAAAAUUCAUCGUAUCACGAGCUUGCAGCGUUUCGAACUUUAUAUACAUUUGGUUGCUGUGAAUGGAAGUCUCUUCUACGCUGGUUAUGACGACUUCAAAAUAUCUGAUGAAGACCAUGGAUACGCACUGAGUUUGGGUAAAUUCAGCGAAACUAUUAUUAUAGAUUCGAUGAGAUACAGCGAAAACAUGAAAUUCUCAACAUUCGAUCGCGACAACGAUUUGUACGAUGGCAAUUGUGCUCUUGGGAUCAAAAGUGGCUGGUGGUACAACGCUUGUCAGCAUUGUAACUUAAAUCAACCAAAAUUGUUUUACCCAAUGUUUUACAUGAAAGAAGCUAAGAUGCUAAUUCGUCCCAAAGAAGCGAUGAAGAAGUGAUAAACUGAAGUUAUAAAUUUGCUUUUUAAUUAAUCUACGAUUAAUUAUUUAAAGUACCGAUUUUUUUAAUUAA